rnacentral:rRNA from 1 species
GACGAACGCUGGCGGCGUGCCUAACACAUGCAAGUCGAGCGAAGAAUACAUAAAGAAAUCUUCGGAUGGAAUUAUGUAUUUCUUAGCGGCGGACGGGUGAGUAACGCGUGAGGAACCUGCCUUGUACUAGGGGAUAGCCUCGGGAAACCGGGAUUAAUACCCUAUGACACUUGAAAGUCGCAUGACUUUCAAGUCAAAGCGAUUUAGCGGUACAAGAUGGCCUCGCGUCCCAUUAGCUAGUUGGCGAGGUAAUAGCUCACCAAGGCGACGAUGGGUAGCCGGCCUGAGAGGGUGAACGGCCACACUGGAACUGAGACACGGUCCAGACUCCUACGGGAGGCAGCAGUGGGGAAUAUUGCACAAUGGAGGAAACUCUGAUGCAGCGACGCCGCGUGAGCGAUGAAAGGUUUUCGAAAUCGUAAAAGCUCUGUCCUAAGGGACGAUAAUGACGGUACCUUAGGAGGAAGCCCCGGCUAACUACGUGCCAGCAGCCGCGGUAAAAAUAGACG